rnacentral:rRNA from 1 species
GACGAACGCUGGCGGCGUGCUUAACACAUGCAAGUCGAACGGUGAAGGGACCGGUUUUUGCUGGUUCUGGAUGAGUGGCGCACGGGUGAGUAACACGUGAGUAACCUGCCCCCUUCUUCUGGAUAACCGCAUGAAAGUGUGGCUAAUACGGGAUAUUCUGCGCCUGCUGCAUGGUGGGUGUGGGAAAGAUAUUGUUUCGGUGGGGGAUGGGCUCGCGGCCUAUCAGCUUGUUGGUGGGGUGAUGGCCUACCAAGGCGGUGACGGGUAGCCGGCCUGAGAGGGUGGACGGUCACACUGGGACUGAGACACGGCCCAGACUCCUACGAGAGGCAGCAGUGGGGAAUAUUGCACAAUGGGCGCAAGCCUGAUGCAGCGACGCCGCGUGAGGGAUGGAGGCCUUCGGGUUGUAAACCUCUUUCGCCAGUGAAGCAGGCCUGUCCCUUUUGUGGGUGGGUUGACGGUAGCUGGAUAAGAAGCGCCGGCUAACUACGUG